rnacentral:rRNA from 1 species
UACAGAGGUGGCAAGCGUUGUUCGGAAUUACUGGGCGUAAAGGGCGCGUAGGCGGCCUUCUAAGUCAGACGUGAAAUCCCCCGGCUUAACCUGGGAACUGCGUCUGAUACUGGGAGGCUUGAGUAUGGGAGAGGGAUGUAGAAUUCCAGGUGUAGCGGUGAAAUGCGUAGAUAUCUGGAGGAACAUCAGUGGCGAAAGCGACUUCCUGGACCAAUACUGACGCUCAUGUGCGAAAGCGUGGGGAGCAAACAGG